rnacentral:rRNA from 1 species
AGAGAAGCGAUNCGGCGACGCAGAGCGGAACUUCAAAGCCUGUCUCAUUCGGAUUGGAGUCUGCAACCCGACUCCAUGAAGCUGGAUUCGCUAGUAAUCGCGCAUCAGCCACGGCGCGGUGAAUACGUUCCCGGGCCUUGUACACACCGCCCGUCAAGCCAUGGAAGCCGGGAGUGCCUGAAGUGUGCAACCGCAAGGAGCGCCCUAAGGUAAAACCGGUGACUGGGGCUAAGUCGUAACAAGGUAUC